UACGUAGGUGGCAAGCGUUGUUCGGAAUUACUGGGCGUAAAGGGCGCGUAGGCGGCCCUCUAAGUCAGACGUGAAAUCCCUCGGCUCAACCGGGGAACUGCGUCUGAGACUGGAAGGCUUGAAUUCAGGAGAGGGAUGUGGAAUUCCAGGUGUAGCGGUGAAAUGCGUAGAUAUCUGGAGGAACACCGGUGGCGAAGGCAGCUCUCUGGGACGGUACUGACGCUGAGACGCGAAAGCGUGGGGAGCGAACAGG
rnacentral:rRNA from 1 species